CCUACGGGUGGCUGCAGUGGGGGAUAUUGCACAAUGGGGGAAACCCUGAUGCAGCGACGCCGCGUGUGGGAAGACGGUCCUCUGGAUUGUAAACCACUGUCCCCAGGGACGAAGAUGACGGUACCUGGGGAGGAAGCUCCGGCGAACGACGUGCCAGCAGCCGCGGUAAUACGUUGGGAGCAAGCGUUGUCCGGAAUUACUGGGUGUAAAGGGUGCGUAGGCGGGAUGGCAAGUUGGGUGUUAAAUCUACCGGCUAAACUGGUAGUCGAACUCAAAACUGCUAUUCUUGAGUGAAGUAGAGGCAGGCGGAAUUCCUAGUGUAGCGGUGAAAUGCGUAGAGAUUAGGAGGAACACCAGUGGCGAAGGCGGACUGCUGGGCUUUUACUGACGCUGAGGCUCGAAAGUGUGGGGAGCAAACAGGAUUAGAUACCCCAGUAGUC
rnacentral:rRNA from 1 species